CGGGCCGGAACCAGCGCGCAAAGCAGAUGGCGAGCGCCGAGGUCGGUUCGGCCCCGCCGCGCCUCAAGGCAGCAGCCACCCUGGGGAAGGUGGAUGCCGGAAGGGGCGUCGCCUGCGGGUCACCCAGAGGACACCCGGCGGGGAAUUCCGAGGGUGGGAGUGAGGAGAGGUAGGAGAGGCCACGGCAGAGAGAGGCCCCGCGCAGAGUGGGAACCAUCGCCCGGUGCGGGCCUGACCUUCCAGGGCCGGCGACUCCUCGGCAGAGCGACCGCGCGGUGUCUCAGAGCGCGGCCCGGAGCCGCACUAAGAGCGCUGGACGGCGGGAGAGAGGCUCGGAGGACCGGUAGCUCCCAGCAAAGCGGCCUAGCGGAUGUCGGGAGCUAUCUUCGGGCCCCUGGAGGGCCCGAGCUCCCUGGAUGCCCCGAGCAUCCACCCGCUGGUGUGCCCGCUGUGCCACGUGCAGUACGAGCGCCCGUGUCUUCUGGACUGUUUCCACGACUUCUGUGCCGGCUGCCUGCGUGGCCGCGCGACCGACGGCCGCCUCACCUGCCCGCUGUGCCAGACGUGGAGACCACGUACUUCUGCAACACGUGCGGACAGCCCCUGUGCGCGCGCUGCCGCGACGAGACGCACCGAGCACGCAUGUUCGCGCGCCACGACAUCGUGGCCCUGGGUCAGCGAAGCCGCGACGUGCCCCAGAAGUGCACGCUGCACGCAGAGCCCUACCUCUUGUUCUCCACCGACAAGAAGUUGCUGUUGUGCAUCCGCUGCUUCCGCGACAUGCAGAGGGAGAGCCGGGCGCACUGCGUGGACCUGGAAUCGGCUUACGUACAGGGCUGCGAGCGGCUGGAGCAGGCGGUGCUGGCCGUGAAGGCCCUGCAGACGGCCACGCGGGAGGCCAUCGCGCUGCUGCAGGCCAUGGUGGAGGAGGUGCGGCACAGCGCCGCCGAGGAGGAGGACGCUAUCCACGCCCUCUUCGGCAGCAUGCAGGACAGGCUGGCAGAGAGGAAAGCGCUGCUGCUGCAGGCUGUGCAGAGCCAAUACGAAGAGAAGGACAAGGCCUUCAAGGAGCAGCUCUCUCACUUGGCCACCUUGCUGCCCACCCUGCAGGUCCACCUGGUCAUCUGCUCCUCCUUCCUCAGCUUGGCCAACAAGGCUGAGUUCCUGGACCUGGGCUAUGAGCUGAUGGAGAGGCUGCAGGGCAUCGUCACGCGGCCGCACCACCUAAGGCCUGUUCAGAGCAGCAAGAUUGCCAGUGACCACCGAGCUGAAUUCGCGCGCUGUCUGGAGCCGCUGCUGCUGCUGGGGCCACGUCGGGUGGCAGCUGCUGCAAGUGGUGCUAACACGCUGGCAGGGGGCUUAGGCCCCAAGGCGCUGACGGGGCCCCACUGCCCCUCCCCAGUAGGAAAGAUGUCGGGGUCACCCGUCCAAAAGCCCACGCUGCACCGGUCCAUCAGCACCAAGGUGCUGCUGGCGGAGGGCGAGAACACGCCCUUCACAGAGCACUGCCGCCACUAUGAGGACUCCUACCGGCACCUGCAGGCAGAGAUGCAGAGCCUAAAGGACCAGGUACAGGAGCUGCACCGAGACCUCACCAAGCACCACUCGCUCAUCAAGGCGGAGAUCAUGGGAGACGUCCUGCGCAAGUCCCUGCAACUGGACGUGCAGAUCGCCUCAGAGCACGCCUCCUUAGAGGGCAUGAGGGUCGCCUUCCAGGAGAUUUGGGAGGAAGCCUAUCAGCGAGUGGCUAAUGAGCAGGAGAUUUAUGAAGGUUCCAGACAGUUGGCUGCUGAGUGAACCCUCUGUCCCUGAGCUAACUAACCCACAUACUAGCAGAGGAGGAAGUCAGAGUCGGCCACUAACCAGAUGCAAAUCCCCACGCUCUUCCCCUUAGCGCUUGACCGUGCCUCCCAGCUGCUAACUGGCCUCCAAUGAUGCAUGUGAGCCCAGCUCCAUGACCUUCUCCAGCUGAGGCAGGAGAAUGCCUACCUGACCACCAUCACCAAGCAGAUCACGCCCUACGUCCGCUCCAUUGCCAAGGUGAAGGAGCGGCUGGAGCCCAGGUCUUUGUUUGUUUGAGACAGUCUCGCUCUGCCGCCCAGGCUGGAGUGCAAUGGCGCCAUCUCAGCUCUCACUGCAGCCUCCACCUCCCAGGUUCAAUCGAUUCUCCUGCCUCAGCCUCCAGAGUAGCUGGGAUUACAGGUUUCAGGCACCCGUGGAUGAGCAGUCAGAGAGUCUACAGAACACGCACGACAACAGCAGGAACAGCGCGGCCUCAGCCAGGAAUAAUCCAGGAAGUGUCCCGGAAAAGAGAGAGAAGACAUCAGAGCCUAAAGGAAACAGCUGGGCUCCGAACGGCCUCUCAGAAGAGCCUCUACUGAAAAAUAUGGAUCAUCACAGAUCCAAACAGAAAAAUGGGGGUGAUGUCCCCACAUGGAGGGAACACCCGACUUAGCAAAUGGGACCGGUCCCCAGGGUCAGGCUCUUAGAGCAGGCACAAGACUGGGACACUGGACAGAAGGUUGUUCCCAUGAUGGUUUUUUUUAUUUUUUACUUUUGAGAUGGAGUUUCGCUCUGUUGCCCAGGCUGGAGUGUAAUGGUGCGAUCUCGGCUCACUGCAACCUCUGCCUCCUGGGUUCAAGCGAUUCUCCUGCCUCAGCCUCCCGAGUAGCUGGGAUUACAGGCGCCUGACACCACGCCCCACUAAUUUUUUGUAUUUUUAGUAGAGAUGGGGUUUCACCAUGUUGGCCAGGCUGGUCUCAAACUCCAGACCUCAGGUGAUCCACCUGCCUCAGCCUCCCAAAGUGCUGAGAUUACAGGGGUGAGUCACCGUGCCUGGCCAAUGUUGUUGUUGUUUUUAAGACAAUUUCACUCUUUGUUGCUCAGGCUGGAGUGCAAUGGCGCAAUCUCUGGCUCACCGCAACCUCCGCCUCCCAGGUUCAAGCGAUUCUCCUACCUCAGCCCCCAGAGUAGCUGGGAUUACAGGCAUGUACCAUCACACCCGGCUGAUUUUUUGUAUUUUUAGUAGAGAGGGGGUUUCUCCAUGUUGGUCAGGCUGGUCUCGAACUCCCAACCUCAGGUGAUCCGCCCACCUCGGCCUCCCAAAAUGCUGGGAUUACAGGGGUAAGCCACUGUGCCCGGCCAGUUAUUUCUUUAAAAGGUAAUCAUUUGUCAAGAGUAAAACCCAGAAGCUCUGACAGGCCGUAAUUUCAGAUCCUUUGGCUUGGGCAGUUUUGAUUUUCCCCGUGUUUGCAUGGCACGAAGUCUUCGUCCUUGUCACAGUAGCUUGGGAUGACUCCCACUCCACAUGGAAAACAUCAGGGAGUGACAAUCCAGCAAGAAAUCCCUCGCUAGUUCCACACCUACACACCGAGCGUCUGUGUGCCAGGCCCUGUGCUGGGCAGAGUGUGGUAUGUCAGGGUGUGCCGGUUUUAGGUAACAAGACUCCACCACUGAGUGGCACCUGCCCUAUCGCAAAGGAAUCCAGUUCCUCCAGAAUAACAGUCCCACUGUUAACCUGGUGCUACUGGGAAGUUCCACCCAGUAAUCUGAGCAGUGACUCAUGGAAGGAUGAGGAACGUUUGCUCCAGCUUCUCUCCCUUUCCAGCAAGGGCAGAGCUCCUAAAGCCAGGGGUUAGCACCUGGCCAGCUUAUGUGGCAGAUGGUCUCAGUUACAACUUCGCUGCUUUCCCAAACUCCUGCAGCCCUCCUGAGUCCGCCUUCCAUUGACAGCAAGGCACUGGGCGGCAGCGACCUUUUUUCUAGUAGUUUUUUCCCAGCAGUUUUCCAUUUCUCCACAGUACCCUUUUCAUUUAGAGGAGCUUAAUAAAUGCUUUUUAAAAAGUAA